rnacentral:rRNA from 1 species
UACGAAGGGGGCUAGCGUUGCUCGGAAUUACUGGGCGUAAAGCGCACGUAGGCGGCUUUUUAAGUCGGAGGUGAAAUCCUGGAGCUCAACUCCAGAACUGCCUUCGAUACUGAAGAGCUCGAGUCCGGGAGAGGUGAGUGGAACUGCGAGUGUAGAGGUGAAAUUCGUAGAUAUUCGCAAGAACACCAGUGGCGAAGGCGGCUUACUGGCCCGGUACUGACGCUGAGGUGCGAAAGCGUGGGGAGCAAACAGG